rnacentral:rRNA from 1 species
UACAGAGGCCACAAGCGUUAGGCGGAAUCACUGGGCUUAAAGCGUGUGUAGGCGGGCCGUUAAGUGCCUUGUGAAAUCCCACCGCUCAACGGUGGAACUGCUUGGCAGACUGGCGGUCUUGAGCCCUCCAGGGGCAACUGGAACAAACGGUGGAGCGGUGAAAUGCGUAGAUAUCGUUUGGAAUGCCGAAGGUGAAAACAGGUUGCUGGGGAGGCGCUGACGCUGAGACACGAAAGCCAGGGGAG